UACGUAUGGUGCAAGCGUUAUCCGGAUUUACUGGGCGUAAAGGGAGCGUAGACGGCAUGGCAAGCCAGAUGUGAAAGCCCGGGGCUCAACCCCGGGACUGCUUUUGAAACUGCAGGGCUAGAGUGCAGGAGGGGCAAGUGGAAUUCCUAGUGUAGCGGUGAAAUGCGUAGAUAUUAGGAGGAACACCAGUGGCGAAGGCGGCUUGCUGGACUGUGACUGACACUGAGGCUCGAAAGCGUGGGGAGCAAACAGG
rnacentral:rRNA from 1 species